rnacentral:rRNA from 1 species
CCGGCGACCGGCGCACGGGUGAGUAACACGUAUGCAACCUGCCCUCUUCAGGGGGACAACCUUCCGAAAGGGAGGCUAAUCCCGCGUAUAUCGGUUUCGGGCAUCCGAGAUCGAGGAAAGAUUCAUCGGAAGAGGAUGGGCAUGCGGCGCAUUAGCUAGACGGCGGGGUAACGGCUCACCGUGGCGACGAUGCGUAGGGGUUCUGAGAGGAAGGUCCCCCACAUUGGAACUGAGACACGGUCCAAACUCCUACGGAAGGCAGCAG